rnacentral:lncRNA from 1 species
GUUUUAUGCUUUAUUUAUUAUGGUUGGCAGUAUCGCUUAUUUUGUUUUUAGAUGGAUAAUAUUGAUGGAGAUUUGUGCUUCCGAUGGAAAAAGAGAGAAAUUUUUUUGAAUUGAAGAGUGUAAAUGUGUUUCUAUGUUAGCCACAAGUAAUACUUAUAAAGUUGCCAUUAGUUUCCCAGGUUAGCCACCAGUAAUACUAUUGCAAAUAGAGUCAGAGGGAAUCACUAAUUUAGAGGAUAUAUGUCAAAAAAAAAAAAACAUCAGUUUCCCAUGUUAGCCAGUCAAAGGGACACACUAAUUUAGAGGAUAUAUGCCCUUAACCUACACUAAUUUAGA